rnacentral:rRNA from 1 species
AUUGAACGCUGGCGGCAUGCUUUACACAUGCAAGUCGAACGGCAGCACAGACUUCGGUCUGGUGGCGAGUGGCGAACGGGUGAGUAAUACAUCGGAACGUACCCAGUAAUGGGGGAUAACUAUCCGAAAGGAUAGCUAAUACCGCAUACGCCCUACGGGGGAAAGAGGGGGAUCGCAAGACCUCUUGUUAUUGGAGCGGCCGAUGGCUGAUUAGCUAGUUGGUGGGGUAAAGGCCUACCAAGGCAACGAUCAGUAGCGGGUCUUAGAGGACGAUCCGCCACACUGGAACUGAGACACGGUCCAGACUCCUACGGGAGGCAGCAGUGGGGAAUCUUGGACAAUGGGCGCAAGCCUGAUCCAGCAAUGCCGCGUGCGUGAAGAAGGCCUUCGGGUUGUAAAGCGCUUUUGUCAGGGAGCAAAUCCUUGUGGCUAAUACCCACCGGGGAUGAGAGUACCUGAAGAAUAAGGACCGGCUAACUACGUGCCAGCAGCCGCGGUAACAC